AUUGAACGCUGGCGGCAUGCCUUACACAUGCAAGUCGAACGGCAGCACGGGAGCAAUCCUGGUGGCGAGUGGCGAACGGGUGAGUAAUACAUCGGAACGUGCCCAAUCGUGGGGGAUAACGCAGCGAAAGCUGUGCUAAUACCGCAUACGAUCUACGGAUGAAAGCAGGGGAUCGCAAGACCUUGCGCGAAUGGAGCGGCCGAUGGCAGAUUAGGUAGUUGGUGAGGUAAAGGCUCACCAAGCCGUCGAUCUGUAGCUGGUCUGAGAGGACGACCAGCCACACUGGGACUGAGACACGGCCCAGACUCCUACGGGAGGCAGCAGUGGGGAAUUUUGGACAAUGGGCGAAAGCCUGAUCCAGCCAUGCCGCGUGCAGGAUGAAGGCCUUCGGGUUGUAAACUGCUUUUGUACGGAACGAAACGGCCUUUUCUAAUAAAGAGGGCUAAUGACGGUACCGUAAGAAUAAGCACCGGCUAACUACGUGCCAGCAGCCGCGGUAAUACGUAGGGUGCAAGCGUUAAUCGGAAUUACUGGGCGUAAAGCGUGCGCAGGCGGUUAUGUAAGACAGUUGUGAAAUCCCCGGGCUCAACCUGGGAGCUGCAUCUGUGACUGCAUAGCUAGAGUACGGUAGAGGGGGAUGGAAUUCCGCGUGUAGCAGUGAAAUGCGUAGAUAUGCGGAGGAACACCGAUGGCGAAGGCAAUCCCCUGGACCUGUACUGACGCUCAUGCACGAAAGCGUGGGGAGCAAACAGG
rnacentral:rRNA from 1 species